rnacentral:rRNA from 1 species
UACGGAGGGUGCAAACGUUGCUCGGAAUCAUUGGGCGUAAAGCGCACGUAGGCGGCCUGUUAAGUCGGAUGUGAAAGCCCCGGGCUCAACCCGGGAAGUGCAUUCGAAACUGGCGGGCUUGAAUAUGGAAGAGGGUCGCGGAAUUCCGUGGUGAGCGGGUGAAAUGCGCAGAUAUCGAGGAAGAACAGCCGUAGGCGAAGGCGGCUUGCUGGACGGUACG